GGGUGACGGGCCCAGGCAACGGGCUUGGCGGCGGCUUGUCCCGCUCCUCCUUAGCCCGUUCCCUGAGCCUGGGCCUUUGGGGCUCUCAGAGUGGCCUCCAGGGGCGUCCUCCCCGUCCUCGCCUCCUCCAGUCCCGGCGGGUCGCGCGGCCCGGGGCGGGGCCUGCGGCGGCUGAGGGAAGCGAAGCGGAAUCCAGAGUUGGCUGCCUUUGAGCUCCUGAGGCUGCAUGGUUUACCCCAGACUCCCAUCUCCACCGCCAGACUCGAGGGCUCCAGUUUGCUCUUGACAACCUCCAAUCUUACCCCAGCCAAGGCUUCACCGCAGUCCUGGCGGCUUGGAGUUUCCCUCUGAAGAGUCAUCACCUGGCCUGAGGAACCCCAGCCCCAUCAUGGACCCAGAGUGCGCCCGGCUCCUCCCGGCUCUCUGUGCUGUCCUGGCAGACCCCAGGCAGCCGGUGGCAGAUGACACUUGUUUGGAGAAGCUGCUGGACUGGUUUAAGGCAGUCACUGGAGCAGGCUCCAGUCUCCUAUUACUGCAGGAACACCCCUGCCUGGUAGAGCUGCUGUUCCAUGUGCUGAAACCCCAGGAUCUGAGUUCCAGAAUCCUGUCCUUCACACUCCGCCUCGCAGGGAUCUUUGCAGCCCAGGAGAACUGCUUCCAGUUCCUCCAGCAGGGGGAGCUGCUGCCCGGGCUGUUCGGGGAGCCGGGCCCCCUCGGGACAGCGGCCUGGGCGGCCCCCUCCGUGCGCAGCGGCUGGAUCCAAGGCCUGCACUCUCUGGCGCAGCACCCCAGUGCCUUGCGCUUCCUUGCCGACUCGGGUGCUGUUGACACCAUCUUCUCCCUGCAGGGAGAUCCCAGCCUGUUUGUGGCCUCCGCCGCCGGGCAGCUCCUGGUGCGUGUCCUGGACUUGGCCCUGCGCGGGCCCGCUGAGGGGCACGUCUGCCCACAGGCCUGGGACUGGCCGGCCUGUGCCCGGAAGGUCGUGUGUCACCUCGAAGACUGCCUGCGCUCCGAGGCCGCCCCGCGGGUCACGCAGGCCCUGCACGUCCUGACCACCACGUUCGGGCACUGCCACGGCCUCUGGACGCAGGGCCUUUGGGCGCGGCUGAGCCCCCUCGUGGCCCGCCUGCUCGAGAAGGACCCGGUGCCAGCCCCGCACGCGCUUGUGGAUCUCCUCCUCAGCGUGGCCCGCUCUUCUGUGCUGAGCUCUGACCCUGGCCUGUGGGAGACCGCAGCACAGGCCCUCAGCCGCCUGAGCCCCACGCAGGCAGGGCCUCUGGCCGCGGGGAUCCUGAAACUGCAGGACUGUCCCCAGGCGCUGAGGAUCCAGGCCUUCCGCAUCCUCCUCCAGCCCCUGGCCCAUGUCCUGGAAGCCGCUGCUCAGGGCCCCGGAGCGCCACGCUUGCUGGAGGGGGCCGCAGGCGACCUGAUGGCCGUGGACACGUUCCCGCCCUCCAGGUCGGCGUGCGUGGGUCUCCUGUGCAGCGCCCUGGCCCACCUGGAGCUGCUGCAGCCCCUGCCCCAGCGCCCCUCGCCCUGGCCCCAGGCGCCCCUGCUUGCCGCUGCGGUGACGAUACUGCGAUUCUGCAAUGGCUCAGCAGCCCCCAGCUCCGAGGCAGGCAGCCGCCUGUGCACGAUGCUGGUGGGCUGUGUCCGCGUCCAGCGAGCUGCCCUGGAUUUCCUAGGAGUCCUGUCUCAGGGACUGGGCCCCCAGGAGUUGGUGACGCAGGUGUUUGCCAUCCUGCUGGAGUACCUCGUGAGCCCCGACUCCAGCCCCACGGUUCUGAAGAAGGCCUUCCAGGCCACACUCCGCUGGCUCCUGAGCUCAGCCACACCUCCCGGCUGCUGUGACCUGGAGCCCUACGCCCAGCUGGUCCUCGGAGAGCUGCUCGCCGUGCUACAGAAGCGCCUGUGCAGCCCCUGCUGGGAGGUGAGGGACUCGGGCCUCGAGUUCCUGACCCAGAUGACCAGACGCUGGGGAGGGCAGGGCAGCUUCAGACAGGUGCUGCUAGGCUCGGAGGUGCCCGAGCUCACCAGGCAGCUCCUGCAAGACCCUGAGAGCUACGUCCGUGCAAGCGCAGUGGCCGCCGUGGGGCAGCUGUCCAGCUGGGGGCUGCUCGCCGCCCCCUCCAGGCCUGAGCACCCAGACGUCCCGCAGAAGACCCCACUCGAGGAGCUUCUGCUCGUCCUGACCACAGACUCAGAGGGGUUCCCCCGGCGGGCCGUCAUGCGGGUCUUCACCGAGUGGCUGCGGGACGGCUACGCAGACGUGGCUAAGGACCUGGAGCAGUCCGUGGCCCCGGUGCUGCAGGCGGCGAGCAGGGACCUGGACUGGGAGGUGCGCGUCCAGGGCCUGGAGCUGGCACUGGUGUUUCUGGAGCAGCUGCUGGGCCCCCUCGGCCCCUCCACGGCGGCCCCGCCCGGCGCACUGACCCAGGCCCUGCAGGCCCUCUGCCGAGUCCAGCUCUUCGAGUUCGCUUUACGGUCCUUGUUUGACUGUGACCGCCCCGUGGCCCAGAAGUCCUGUGACCUCCUCCUCUUCCUGAAGGCCAAGGCCACUCCCUCCGGCAGCCAGCAGGAGGUGGGGGACGGUCCCAACGUGGCCUCUGUGGAGGCCGCCCUGCGGAGGUGGCAGGCCGGUGAACAGGGUCAGCCCCUGGGGGAGCUGGCGCCCGAGGCUGUCCUGGCUGUGCUGAGGUCCAUGGACCUGGAGGCCCUUCGAGACACCCUGGCCGAGAGCAGUGACCACGUGGAGAGGAGCCCCCAGUCCCUCCUGCAGGACAUGCUGGCCACCGUGGGCGUCCUGGGAGACAACGAGGCCGACUGCUACUGA
rnacentral:lncRNA from 1 species